GAGUGCUAGGAGUGCAACUCUCGCUCAUUAUCAUAUCUAAUCAGCUAGUGAUGAGUGCCAUGUGUACUCUACUGAUAUCUGUUUAGGGAAAACAGAUGAAACGUAAUUGGUCUCGUCUGUGAAAUGACUCAUUAAGAAAGCCCGUAUGUAGGUCAGCGCUGAAUCUGAGCACAUGCACGUUUUCACAAAUUGGAAUCUAUGGCGUCUAAUGUGAAGUUGCAUUUAUACCAGUUAAGAAAACUUUGGCUGAGUUGUUUCCCAAAAUAUAAUGUGCAAAGAUUGGUGGACUUUAGUAUACUGAAGAGUUUUUUAUGAAGAGUUCUUUCAUUUUGGGUUUUUUUCCCUCCCCAUUUCAACUGUUUAUAUUUGUCAAAAUCCAGCUCAUGAAAGGAAACCCUUAAGUGCACUGAUCAAAGUUUUACACUUUCAGUCUUUUUUUUUUUUUUUUUUUUUUUCCCACAGCCCUCCAAAAUGCCACUGCUAAAUACAGUUUUGAGUUACAGGCUCAAAAUGCCAAGGUAUGCUGCUUGGACACGCCCCAGGUUGAGUCUGCUUUGGCUUUGUUUGGAACUCUUCUCUGGAACUUUAUCUGAUCUCUGACACUGGCACAGCUGGCUUGAGCUGCUUCACUUCAGGAUGAAAGACAUCCUGGCUGUUAGUGAAGCUGGGGUGGUUAGGAUGAGCCCCUCAGGCCUUACCUGGACCAAUCUGAAUCAUCUACACAGGUUAUCAACCAUCACGGCUGGAACACACGCCUUCAGUUAUCACCAUUUUGACAUGGACACCAUUUUCCUCUCAUUCACUACUGCAAGUGUUUAAUAUGUUGUAUUAGAUGGUGUUUUGGAAAUUUCACACCAUUUACGUUAACUAAACAUUGCAGUUUUGUUUUGGUAAAACUGUGUCCCGCACUUGCUUGCCCUGUGUAUUGAGCUUUGUGAUCUUAAUUGUUCUUGAACAGUGCAGUGUUACGGUUUCUCUCCAGUGUGUAUUUUCUUGUGUUUGUUUCUUCAUCUCUCUCAGAGAUGCAGAAACAACGACUCUUCUCAAAGUGUGAACACUUGUUUGGUUUGACUUCAGUAUGGAUUUGAUUGCUAUCUCUCUCAAACUGCAAGAGUGGAGUUUUUGGGUUGCCACUGUGGGGUAAUAUCUGUUACCCCAGAUAUUAAGUGGGCUUUUACAGUAGUUUUUACUUUCACAUCAAUUACAUGUCACAGAUACUGUCAUUAAAGCUUUUAAUUGUAUUUUAACCAGACUGUUCAUUUUGUGUACAGUUGUUUCCACAUUGAGGACAUGGGGAAAAACCCAUCUCCUGUGUGUUGGUCAAUAUGAGAUCAAAGUUGACCCUUAUUUUUAAUCUUUCAGUGUGCUUUGAGUUGUAUCUGUGACUUUUUUUUUUCCAACAUGAUUUGUUGGUUUAACUUGAUGUAACCUGGUUUCCUUAAUUGAGUUCAUUUAAACAAAUGAGUUAGUACAAAAAAAAUGUGUUCUCUUUCUUUGUAUUAAUUUAAGGAACUGAAAAUUAAGGCAACCAGGUUACUUUUACUUUUAGUUAAACCAACAAAUCAUUUAAAGCAUUUCGACCUGUUCAAUCCUUCCCCUCCAACCACCUUAUAUUCAUCACUUUUCACAGUCCACUGUGUCCCAUAUUUUUGUCUGUUACACUAAAGUGUCACUUCAUAGAAUAAAAAAAAAAUAUUACAAA